rnacentral:rRNA from 1 species
AUUGAACGCUGGCGGCAUGCCUUACACAUGCAAGUCGAACGGCAGCACGGGUGCUUGCUCCUGGUGGCGAGUGGCGAACGGGUGAGUAAUACAUCGGAACAUGUCCUGUAGUGGGGGAUAGCCCGGCGAAAGCCGGAUUAAUACCGCAUACGAUCUACGGCUGAAAGCGGGGGACCUUCGGGCCUCGCGCUUUCGGGUUGGCUGAUGGCUGAUUAGCUAGUUGGUGGGGUAAAGGCCUACCAAGGCGACGAUCAGUAGCUGGUCUGAGAGGAGGACCAGCCACACUGGGACUGAGACACGGCCCAGACUCCUACGGGAGGCAGCAGUGGGGAAUGUUGGACAAUGGGCGAAAGCCUGAUCCAGCAAUGCCGCGUGUGUGAAGAAGGCCUUCGGGUUGUAAAGCACUUUUGUCCGGAAAGAAAUCCUUGGCCCUAAUACGGUCGGGGGAUGACGGUACCGGAAGAAUAAGCACCGGCUAACUACGUG